rnacentral:snRNA from 1 species
UUGCUUAGGCAGCAAAUACACUAAAAUUGGAAUGAUACAGAGAAAAUUAGCAUGGCCCCUCCACAGGGAUGACAUGCAAAUUCACAAAGUGUUUCAUAUUUGU